AAUCAGCCUGCCCACUGAGGUGUAGCCUCAGGAAGUUCAAUAGGGAGGAGCCUGGCCCCUCCUCUUCCUGUGUGGAACCUGCGAUUUCAAGGGCCGACAGGAAGCCUCGAUCGGGGAACUCUGACCUUGCGGAGGAAACUUGUUUCCCUUUUUUUCUUCCCGCCGACUUUCACUCGAUAAAACCCUGCUUUAUUCACCCUUUAAACCUUCUCCAAACCUAAAUUUUCCUGGCCUUGGGACGGACAAGAACCCAGUCUUCAGAUGAAGGAAGGAAAAGUCCUGCAACAUUCUUGGCGUGCAACGUUGGGGCUCUUGAAGAGCUCCAGAAUUGGGAUUCUAUUUUCAAGGAAUGUCCUAGACAACAUGGCAUUAUUAAUUGAAAAGGAAAUAUAUUCCAGAAAUCUAUUCUGUUACCAGCUGUAUCAGAAUUCCACAGUGCAUCUGGUUCUUGGGCAAGUCACUGAAACGUGGGUCAAAUGUUGAAAGCUACUGUACUGUGAUGUGAAAAUAAAGGACAGUUAUAACAAAAUACUGCAAACUCAGUGGCUGAAAACAUCAGAAAUUUAUCAUCUCACAUGUCUGGAAGCUAGAAAUUUGAAAUCCAGGUGCUGUCAAAUCCAUGCUUCCUCUGAAACCUGUAGGGGAACAUCCUUCCUUGCCAGCCGUCUCUGGUGCCCUUUGUCUCAUAGGUACAUCAUUCCAAUCCUCCCCUUUUGCAUUGUAUUCUCCCUGUGUCUCUCUGUCUCGGUGCCCAAAUUUCUCCUUUUAUAAGGCUACCAAUCAUAUCGAAUUACCCUAAUGACCUCAUUUUAACUUGAGUACCUCUGUAAAGGCUCUGUUACCAACAAGGUCAUAUUCUGAUGUACUGUAGGUUAGAACUUCAACAUUUCUUUCUUGGAAGGGCACAAUUCAACUUAAAACAAAUGGAACGGAUGAUAUAAGAAUCUACUAAUGACUGGGAAAUUUUACUCAGGCAUAAGUGCUAGGAUAUCCUGGUUAAUGAAAAAUUAAUAAUUACAAUUAGUUUUUCCUGUCUAAAUGACUAAAAGGAAAAGUUCAAACAAUAAAUGAAUUACUGAGACUGUUUCUUGCCUGCCCCUGUUCUGGACGUGACCAAUUUUAGCCUCAAAGAAUUUUGUGAUCCCCAAGGGUCUAGGAAGAAGAAAAGAGCUCAAGGAAUUAAAGUGUUCAGAGAUGAGGAGAAUAGACUUGAAAUAAGUAGUGUACCAAUUAAUGGCAGAUCUUUACUAACCAGACUGCAAACAAUAGAUAUUUUUGAAAUGUCACAAAAUUAAAGUUACGAAGUCUAUAGAAAACAAAUUAAACAAUGGCACAUUGGUAAGAACCAUAUAAAUGAUUAUCCCAGUUUUCAUUGUUUGGUUGAUUAUGAAAGACAUAAAUUGUGGGCAGUACCUAAGCUGUACAUUUUUUUCUUGCUUUACUGCCUAUUUUUUUCUUUGUUUCAGUCACCAUUUAAUGCCUUUGGAAAAGUAUAAUGAUGUAUGGAAUGGCUUUUAUACACAUUCCUUCUCUGUAGGUUAUCUUUUUAACCUUUUCUGCAUGACAAUUCCAAGAUAAUAUAUAUAUAUGAAAUUUAGCACAUAAGAAUAUCCUUGUUUUUAUGUUUUGCUCAAAAAUGCAAAUGUACAUAUAUAUAUCUGAAUAUAUAUGUAUGUUUGUGUCUAUGUGUGUGUAUAUAUAUAUAUGUAUAUACAUAUUAUUUCUGUGCUGAUUUAUGUAACCAUAUUUACCCACCAAUUCCCUAGAAAAGGUCCCUUCAAUGCUUGUUAUUUGGCAUUCCUCAAUUUCUUUUGUUCUGUGUUUUGGCUAAGGUGGAUAUUUUCUUGAAAUAUUCUACUUCUCCUGGCACUGAAGUAUUCAUUCACUAAUUUACGUCCUUCCUCCCACCGGCAGCAAGGGCUGAAAUAUGCCCUGCACAGCAAGCUUCUGACCGACUUGGAAAUGACAUCAUGUGUGGCAGAUCCUUGCGUGACCUCAGAGUAUCCUCCACACAUCUACAGCCACCCGGGAAUAAUAGCUUCAGGUCACCAAAUGCCUUUUCCCCGGCUGCUGUAUGUCAUGCUUUUGCUCAUCUUUCUUUUCUGGUCACUCCCAACUAGUCCUGCUUGAGAUCUCUCAACUCAACUCACUUACUGUUUUACAAUGAGGACUCUGGCUAUCUGUCCUUAAAGGAAGGACCUUGGAUGUGAUGGCCAAGGGUCUGGGUUUUCUCCAUCAUUCCCUACCUCUCCUAGCUUCAAGACUGCCUUUAGCAGUUAUUCUACCUCCCAAUCCAUUGCCUCACUUCCUAGACAAAUCUUUUUUUCUUUCCGUCUUUACCCUUGAACCAGAUCCAACUCAGGGCCAAAACAUUAAAAACAAUUUCUGAAAUGGAAAUGGCUCUUACUCUAUCCUUUGUGGACAAAGUUCCACGAUUAACAUAUUUUCUAUACGAGUUUUAAAAAGAGAAGGCUGAGGAAGGGGCAGAGAAGUAAAUAAAAGCCUUUUGCCAUCUCUUGCCUUUAGUAUUAGUAGUAAAUCUUUCUUUCUGAACACAAUCCCACCUUACUCAAACAUAUGUGUGAGCACACACACAUGCCAAUAUGUACACACAAUGCAUUUUAA
rnacentral:lncRNA from 1 species